rnacentral:lncRNA from 1 species
AAGCAUAUCUUAAACAGCCCAAAAGAUGAGUGGAAAGAAGAGUAAGAUACAUAUAUCUUCAUUAAUGGAUAAAAAAGUAAAGAACUGAUGAGAAAGAGUGAAUAAUAAGGGGGCUAGAAGUGCAUGACCUACUCAUAAUUGCAAGGUUUCAACAUCAACAACUUUACACGAAAUGCAAACGCAAUUCAGACGAGGUUCCCUGCUUUUGCUACAGCUUUGGAAUGGGCUAGAAAACCCUUGUAUUAUUUGCUUUCUGUUAGUCGGAAAAUGGGUUUUCCUCCCUGAAGCUACCUCUUCUCCACAAGCAUGCAUGGAUGGCAGUCCUUUUCAUUGUUCGGCCCCUUGGAGCAAGGAGAGGCAAAGGAAAAAGGAGUUCCAUACCUAGCCAUUUGGAGAAAAGUAAAUCCACAUGUUUGCAACGUAUAAUUAAUGUGGGUCAUUACAUGUUGAAAGUGAGAGCAUAAAAGAGUGACAGCAAUGGCGGAUACACGUGUAAAUUGCUGGUUACUGAGAGAUGAUUUCGAUGAUGGGUAGUC